AGUAACGGCGAGUGAAGCGGCAACAGCUCAAAUUUGAAAUCUGGCCCUCUUUGGGGGUCCGAGUUGUAAUUUGCAGAGGGUGCUUUGGCAUCGGCGGCGGUCUAAGUUCCUUGGAACAGGACAUCGCAGAGGGUGAGAAUCCCGUACGUGGGCGCCUGCCUUUGCCGUGUAAAGCCCCUUCGACGAGUCGAGUUGUUUGGGA
rnacentral:rRNA from 1 species